rnacentral:rRNA from 1 species
UACGUAGGGUGCAAGCGUUGUCCGGAAUUAUUGGGCGUGAAGAGCUCGUAGGCGGUUUGUCGCGUCUGCUGUGAAAUCCCGAGGCUCAACCUCGGGCCUGCAGUGGGUACGGGCAGACUAGAGUGCGGUAGGGGAGAUUGGAAUUCCUGGUGUAGCGGUGGAAUGCGCAGAUAUCAGGAGGAACACCGAUGGCGAAGGCAGAUCUCUGGGCCGUAACUGACGCUGAGGAGCGAAAGCGUGGGGAGCGAACAGG